rnacentral:lncRNA from 1 species
CAAGAGAAUUCAAGGAGACUAGCAGAUGGAGGACAUCCUAAUCGUUGUUAGGGUGCUGCCGACAUUCAAAUACACCUCUGCCACCUGCUAGCUACAUCAGAAGAAAUUACGUCAAAAUCCAGCUUGGGGGAGAGCACCCCCAUUUAUCCCGCUAAGUAUUUCUAUCUACAUUUAUACUUAUACUAUAUUAAAAUAAAAAUAUACAUAAUCAUGAAAAACCAAAUAAAUAUUUUGUACUUAUAUAUUUAUCAUUUGCUUAGUGUGCUUAAUAAAUAAAUAAAGUGGCUAUGCUAAACUGAAUCUUAAUAAGACUCUAGCAUGGAUAUGAUGAAUAGUUGCUCUGCCUAAUUUUUAAAUUUGAGUUCUCUCUCUAUUUUAGACAUACCUGUUAUAAUUUAAAGAUUGCUCUAAAAACCUGAACUUGUGGGAAGAGAACUUGAUGUGAAGUUUAAGUUGUUAAUGGAUAUGAUAUGAGAAGGUUGAGCUGCUGUUUUUCUGUUCCUAGAGAUGCUAGAGUUCUGGAGAAUUUUAUCUUUGAAAAUAUUUAAAAUAACACAUGAUGAGUUCCUGUAUGAUGAGAGUUUAAAUUCCUACCACAGCCAUAUAUACAUGCUUGCUAGACUUUGAGCCACACAUUUACUUUUUACUGCUUAUGAGCAUUGAGUGUGGUCAAGCUGUGUCGACCAUUAGGAGCUUGUCAUGUGGUUAAAUCAAGAUUCACUUGCACGUUCACUCACACAUGCUGCUUCUACUCUGGAAGUACGCAUCCACAUAUAUCCAGCCAUUUCCAUCUCGAGAACCACCCAAAAGUAUUCUACUCCUAAUCCGGGAGAGAAUAGCCAAAAACAUUCUCCUAUUUCUGUUUUUCCCUAUGAAAUAAAUGCUCAAGUUAUCUUGGUUACUACCACUUACUAUAUUAUUUCAAGAGAUGAGUGCUCUAAAAAAAGAGAAAGAAAAAGAUACGAGGAAAUAAAAAGGGGCAAGUGCCCGGAACCUUGAAAGAAUAGAAAAAGUGAGACGAGAGGUAAAAAUGGACAAGUUUCCGACAGUAGAAUUAGGGGUACAAGAUACCCACCUGAGAGGAAAGAAAAAAAAAUAUAGAGCAUCUCAUUCUCCUCAAAAAGCUUCAAAGUGAAAGAAAGGUAUGUAUCCCCUCAAAAGAGCACAAGUAGAAUUAGACUUUCACCAUUGUUAUCACCAUUAUCACCAUACACCAUUCAUUCACCACACAUGCACAUCUUGAUUUGACUUUUUGACAUGUUUCUCUGGAUCCAUGGUUUGACUAUGCAAUAAAUGUCUUGUAAGUAUGUAUAAUUUAUCUCCCACCUAUGAGCUCUAGAUAUCAAAAGCCUUAUUAAAAGUAGGGUGAGAGAGAAGGCAAUGUCACUAUACCUCAUACCACAAAUACUACAUACUUUGAGAGAAGGCAUAUACCAUCACUGCCUUAGUAAGGAUCUAGAAAUACCAUAAAAGAGAGAUCUGAGAGAGUCAUACAAGGAAUUUCUGAGUUUUAUUUGAAAAUCUGCAAAAAACUCCAGAGCUAUAGCUGAUCAAGAAUGAGAGACAUGGCGCUUGACUAGACCGUUAUAUCUUUUAACUGCUCAAGACAGAAGUGACGAUUACAAGUCCCAUGGUGAAAGGUAAAAUGAGUAUGCUUUAAGUCUUGACAGUUUACUCUAACUCAGAGAUAAGACCUCAUUUAAAAGCAUGUGUACCAUCAACUUUUAAAGGCAUUACAACAACUUCUGAUCCAUCACUGAGAUUAUCCUUGCUCAGGGACGAGCAAGAGGUAAGCUUCGGAGAGUUUGUUGACGGUCCUUAGGUAUCAAAUAUAAUCCAAAUGCAACC